GCCUGGGUGGCUCAGUGGUUGAGCACCUGCCUUGGGCUCAGGGCAUGAUCCCAGAGUCCCGGGAUCGAGUCCCACUUCAGGCU
rnacentral:tRNA from 1 species